rnacentral:tRNA from 1 species
UGCUGUGUAGCUCAGUCGGUAGAGCCACGGGGCGUGGGUUCGAUUCCCACCACAGCAG